UUACAACCAUUCCAGGAUUUUUGUUUUGCGAAACAGAAAAAAUAAAUUCCUAAAUAAUUAUGGCAUGCAAGUGGUCAAUUUAAUACGAAUGUUGCUAAGUGCAAGAUUAUGUAGGGCAUUGAUCUUUUUGUGUUUACAGGCACAAAAGAAACGUGUGUAAGUUUAGGAGCUGUAGUUGGGUCCGUUAUUGGUGUAUUAGCUGUUGGAAUUCUUAUUGGUGUGAUUUGUACCUUUUUUAUUCUUACUAGAAAAGGAAUUAUAGCAGGCUCGAAACCUCAGCAGACAGUUUCUCGUGACAUAGAAUUAACUGGACCAUCAACUGCUCUGGAUACUUAUGAGCAACUUCAAAACAGAACAGAUACUGAAACCAGAGAAACUUAUGACUCUCUUGAAGUCAACUCCAGAGUGCAACAAAACAGCCAAUCUCAGUAUGAGAGUCUGAAUCAGGAUGCUGAGCAAUAUCACACAUAUACAGAUCUAAAACAAAGCCGAUAAAUCUUUAGAAUAUACUUGAGAGACUCGUCUUGAACGUUCUGGUCUAUUCGGAAAACUUUAUAGAAGGAUUGUUUGUAAUAUUUGUAUUUCUGUUAUUUUAAGGACUGGUGAAUUAUGGCAGUUAUGUUGCUAUAAUAUCAACAUUAUUCGUAAAAAAGACUUUUUAAUUAAAUGUUUAUUUGUGAUUCACAUGUGUAAAGCUAAAAUAUGUGUUAUAUCAGAAGUAAAUUGAAAGUUAAUUUCACAUAGAUGAUAUCAAUUUAAGUCAAGCUUUUAUUAUGUCUGUUCAUUUUGCUUAAGCGGUAGCGUUUUGUUAUUCUAGUGAUAUUUUGUAAUAAUUAUUAUCUUACAUUUUCUGUAAAUAAGACAUGAAACAUUUGUAUUCACGUAUU